UUCCCAUAAACUACUUUUUUCUACUUUAAUUUCUCGAUCUUACAACGGUCCAAGGCUAGAAAUAAGGGGACUAAUCAGAUUGGUUCAGUGUUCAAUCCAAGCGAUUUUCAACUGGUGAGAGACUAUCUUCGAAAUAAGGUUGAAAAGGGGCAAAACAGCUCCAUAAGAGAUUGUACCAAGUCGAGUUGUGGCUUCUUCAACACGUAACACCACAUCCUUUCUUCAAGUUUUAGAGAGUGGUUCUAUUUUAUUCCGAGUAGACAAGGAUGGGACGAAUAGACCGCAAGAUCGCAAAGUACCCGCAAUAAACGGAGAGAGCGAAGGCGGCACUUGGAGACCCAUUGAUUGGAAAUUUCCGAUCGUUGACGAAGCCGAGAUGUUGAUAGGUUACAGGGAGAGUUUCGUGUACCGCAAGAAACAGAAUUGUAAUUCCUAUGGAAGUAUACUUGGUUCAUGACUCAGUAUUAUUCCCUUUGCGAUGAUCACAGCUUUGUCUUGUGCAGGAUCCGACACCAGAGAAGAUAGAUGGAAGAUGGUGUUUUCUUAAGGUUUAGCUGAUGCAUUUGAUACGCUUGUGAUUGGUUUUCUUUUCAUAGUAAGAUUGGUUUUUCCUCUUAGAUUCAGUAAUGUUAGGACCACAUAUUUUAUUGUCCAUUGCCAGUUUAACUUAUGGAAUUAAUUAAAACUCCAACUCUCGAUGGUUGGAUUCAUUUAAUU
rnacentral:sRNA from 1 species